rnacentral:rRNA from 1 species
UACGUAGGCGGAUCAGAAAGUUGGGGGUGAAAUCCCAGGGCUCAACCCUGGAACUGCCUCCAAAACUCCUGGUCUUGAGUUCGAGAGAGGUGAGUGGAAUUCCGAGUGUAGAGGUGAAAUUCGUAGAUAUUCGGAGGAACACCAGUGGCGAAGGCGGCUCACUGGCUCGAUACUGACGCUGAGGUACGAAAGUGUGGGGAGCAAACA